GGGCCCGUGGCCUAGUAUGGAUAGGGCACUUGCCUCCUAAGCAAGUUGUCCCCGGUUCAAAUCCGGGCGGGCCCGCCA
rnacentral:tRNA from 1 species